rnacentral:rRNA from 1 species
CCCUUAGAUGUUCUGGGCUGCACGCGUGCUACAAUGAUACAUACAUACAGUAAUCCUAUACAGACAUGUAGUGGUAAUCUUUAAUAUGUAUCGUACUAGAGAUAGACUAUUGUAAUUAUUGGUCUUGAACCAGGAAUUCCUAGUAAGCGUAAGUCACCAACUUACGCUGAUUACGUCCCUGCCCUUUGUACACACCGCCCGUCGCUUCUACCGAUUGAGUGUUCCGGUGAAUUAUUCUGAUCACUUCAUGUGAAAAGUUUUGUAAACCUUAACACUUAGAGGAAGGAGAAGUCGUAACA